UCUUGCGAUAUCAAAGAGGCGCUUAUAUGCACCCUGUAGAAUCGAAUUUGUGUGAGUUCUGAACCACAGAUUCGUCUCUAGGGGGGUAUAUGGGUGAUGCUACAGACUUCUCUCUAG
rnacentral:precursor_RNA from 14 species